ensembl:misc_RNA Metazoa_SRP Metazoan signal recognition particle RNA
GCCGGGUGUGGUGGCGCGCGCCUGUAAAUCUGCGCUCAUGGAGGCUGAGGCUGGAGGAUGGUUGGAGCUCAGGAGCUCUGAGCUGCAGUGGACUGUGCUGAUCGGGUGUCUGCACUGAGUUCGGUACCGAUAUGGUCUUUCUGGGGGAGCCCGGGGAGACCAGGUCGUCUAAGGACGGGUGAACCGGCCCAGGCCGGAAACGGAGCAGGUCAAAGCCCGCGUGCCGCUCAGCAGUGGGAUCACACCUGAGAGUAGACGCUGUAGCACAGCCUGAGGAAACAUCCAGACCCAGCCUUU